UGGGGAAUAUUGCACAAUGGGCGGAAGCCUGAUGCAGCGACGCCGCGUGGGGGAUGAAGGCCUUCGGGUUGUAAACUCCUUUCGACAGGGACGAAGCGUAAGUGACGGUACCUGUAUAAGAAGCACCGGCUAACUACGUGCCAGCAGCCGCGGUAAUACGUAGGGUGCGAGCGUUGUCCGGAAUUACUGGGCGUAAAGAGCUCGUAGGUGGUUUGUCGCGUCGUCUGUGAAAUUCCGGGGCUUAACUCCGGGCGUGCAGGCGAUACGGGCUGACUUGAGUGCUGUAGGGGAGACUGGAAUUCCUGGUGUAGCGGUGAAAUGCGCAGAUAUCGGGAGGAACACCGAUGGCGAAGGCAGGUCUCUGGGCAGUAACUGACGCUGAGGAGCGAAAGCAUGGGUAGCGAACAGGAUUAGAUACCCUGGUAGUCCAUGCCGUAAACGGUGGGCGCUAGGUGUAGGGGGCUUCCACGUCUUCUGUGCCGUAGCUAACGCAUUAAGCGCCCCGCCUGGGGAGUACGGCCGCAAGGCUA
rnacentral:rRNA from 1 species